ensembl:lncRNA
CCCACACCCACACGCAACAUGCUGUGUCAGUGUGCGACAGCACUAGAGCCACACAAGCGUCCUCUCUGAGCCUCGGUACAGUAAGAUCGCAGAGGUGUGAACGUAGAAGCCAUGUCCGCAGCUCCCGCCGUACAUGAUGGCUGGAGUGAGCUGCAACUUUUCCUGUCAUCGCUACACGUCCAACUGGCACAAAUUAUUACUGAUGAUGCUGCGCACAUGCUAAACAUGGAGAGUUUAACUUAAUGCAUUCUGACUGCGGCUUCCUCAAAGCUAAAAAAAAAACAAAACAAAACAAACAAACAAAAAAAAAACACACUGAAUCCUUUCAGUCCGAGCGCCAAGCUAGUCGUCACGGCAAGUUCGAGAGUUUCACGUUUCUAAAUACAUAAACAAACGUUAUGGAUGGAUGAGACGUCAAGAUAUCGUCAUAUAACGUUUUUGUUUGGUUUUUUGCGUAGCUAUAACUGACAAGAGCCAGCGUUCGACGGCUUGCAUCCGAUUCCUGUGAAAAUAUAAACUCCGAUUAAUUACGCAUGCGCACACACAUCCACACAUUUUUUUUUUGUCUCAACCUUCCUCGAUUAAUUAAACAUACCAGAGUGUGAUGUUGGCGAUCUAAACUUUGAUUAGCUUUGAUUAGUUAACGAUUUAGUUAUUAGUUAACGAGUUAACUGUGAUUGAGAUUUAGAUAUUAAUAUUUACGGUCGCCUCUAAAAGUAUUGGAACAGCAAGGCCAAUUCUAUUCGUUUUGCGAUACGUUGAAGACAUUUGGGUUUGAGACCGAAAGAUGAAUAUGAGACGACAGAUCAGAAUCUCUGCUUUCGUUUCCCGUUUCCAGCUUCUCCAUGUCAUGUUUCCAUCUAGACGUGUUACACAACUUAGAACGUGGCACCUUUUGUUUGAACCCGCCGGGUUUUUCCAAAAAAUAUUGGAACACGCGACUGAUAGGAGUUUCUUGCUGCCCAGGUGUGCCCUGUUACAUUGACUGUUUAAUCAAUUAAUAGCUCUGAACAUCUACUCUUGGUUUGAGCCCUAGGAUUCGCCUGUGAAGACUGCGUGUGUUGUUAAAAAGGAUAAACCAAAAUAAAGACCAGAGAGCUGUCUAUGGGAGAAAAGCAAGCCAUUUUGAAGCAGAGAAAAAAAAAGAGGGAAAAUCAAUCAGAGGCAUUCCACGACCAUUGGGAUUCGCCAAUACGACAAUUUGGAAUCUCCUGAAAAAGAAAGACUGUCACUAACGGUACCAUGUUUUAAGCUGUUUAACACAUAUAGAUGUAAAUAUCAUGAAACGAAAGCUGAAAUCCUGAUCCAUCGUCUAAUAUACAUCUUUUAAUCUCAAACCCAAAUGUCUUCGAUGCAUAGCGGAAACAAUAGAAUAUGCCUUGCUGUUCCAGUACUUUCAGACGGGACUGUAUCCUGAGAUAUUUAGCUUAAAUCUUUUCCAUUUAGUGGAGUACAGGUUUAUAAUGUACACCGUGUGAUAUAUAUGUAAAAUUCGAGUUAAUUAAAAUGACCAGAUACCAAAAAUGUAUGAUGCGCCUAAACUGGCAGAAUAAAUGUAAAUAUUAAUUUUACAAUAUACUAACAAUAUAACUGAAUAGCAUAUACAUUUAUUUAUCAGUUUAUUAUAAAAUAUGCCAUGAAUGUCAAGGACUAUAUUACUGUAUGAUAUAAAUAAUAUAAUUUUAUCUAAAAUAACGUUAACAAUGGUUUUAAUGUAUUAUACUGUGAUUAUUUAAUUAUUUAAUUAUAUAUAUAUAUAUAUAUAUAUUCCAGCCAUUCUGAAACGUUUACACACAAUUCCAUGUACAACUCGAGCGUUUUUAAACCACACACACAGACACACGUCAGUAAUAUUAUUUUAAACACCAAACCAGAGACAGAAUCAACACAUAUACAACAUACUCAAUCAUCGAUCUCUGUCAGAUUUCACACCAAUGCUUCAAAGAUCUACCGUUUCCCUUCGACAUCUCGCAACACCGACUGAGACGAAACAACAACACGCCAACGACAAGCAGUCAUGUGAAAUCGGCGUGAGACAAACACUGGACGCUUUGGUGACCUUCAGCUGCAGGGGGAUUUUUUUUUAAAAACUUCAUUAUAAGCCCUCGCUAUAUAUGAAUCAACGAUGGCCUGGCUCAGACUUACACGCUGGCUCUGUCAGAGACGAUUCAUCCCUCGCCCUCAUCCAUCACUCCAAACACGACGGCGUGGACCUCCGCCGCCGGUCUCCAUAGUGACGGCCCAUGCCGUCUCCCACGCGGAUUCAUUAGCAUAAUCAUUUUUUUUUACCAAUCAUGCCAGUGUGACAGCAGUGACAGGCUGGAAAAAAGUCACGCCAGGACACUGAACGGGUUUGUUCUUUUCCGUUACUCGUUGCCGUGUCUGCACAGCGUAUCCUGCGUGACCGGAGCCUGUAUAUAUCAAUCAGGGGCCUUGUUCAAAUACACACGUCGCCCAUGGAGGACCAUGUUCACAUUGCACACAAUAUGUCAUUCCAGGAGCGACUCCAUGUCCCACGUCACCUGCGUCUGGAACUGAUGAUCGGGUCAAAAUGUUUACACGUGGUGACAUACAAUAUGUCUCUCAUAGCUGCUUAGGUACAUGCAUCAGACGCACAUACUACUGUGGCCACUACAGCUGGUCAAAACGAUAUAAUAUUGAUAUUGUGAUGAAUACAUUUUUCAGAGACUUUUCAAGCGAUAUUUUAGAACUACAGAAUUACAAACUAAAUAAAACUAAAAGGAAGCAGCUGAUUUGAUGUCUUUUUUUUUUAAAAACUUAAUCUUUAAAAUUGUUACAGAUUUUCCCCUCAACUGUGGCUCUGUUUUGGGGUCCUUGAGGACGUGUGUAUCUAAGAGAGCUUUCACACCUCUAUUAAUCCAGCUGCUUGGUCCGAAUAAGAGAGCAAUUGAAAGGAAUCUUUGGUUUUGUAAAAAUAAACAUUGGCUGAGGGGUGUGUAAGGCUGAAAACGCCCUGGGUAAAACCUUCACUAAUCAGAAAAUUAACCGAGCUAACCAAACUGACUAGUUGACACAAUGAACAGUUUGGUUCACUUCCUGUAUUUGGGUCAAUUCAGAAUCGAGUCGCUUUCUCGUUGCAACCGGACAGCGCUAGAGUUCAACUGGAACCAGAACACGGCCUCCUCACUGAGACCACCUGGCUGUUAGACUGAUUGUUUUGGUCCACACCUGAGCACGAUUGCUGUGUUCACACCCGCACAUAUGAACUACAUCCAAAGAGGAAAAAACACCAGGCUUCCAUUCAAACAGACCAAAGGCUGCAUAUGUGAAAGCAUCCUUAUAGUUGGUCAUCACCAAAGUGCAAACUUGGAACAAAAUUUGGAACACAGCUUCUGUUUCCGCCAGUUUUUCCACUUGUUGGACCAUAUUUCAGUUUUUUAUCCUACACUGGUUCCUAGAUCAACGUUGCUUGGAUCAGUCAAUGAAAAACUGGCACGCUUCCUGCUUCUUAGUUGUAACAGGACAGUGUUUGUUAAAAAGCAAACUGGCCUUCGCAAUCGAGGAACCUGAUAAACCCAGAUAAGUGCAACGAGGUCAUGAGAUGUAUACCAGGCCACUGGGACACCGUACUGCCUGUGGCUAUUGGGGCGAGUUGCUUCGCUGAACUCGCACUGCUGAUGCCAGGAUUGCACAAAAAUGACUUUCCAUGACCUCAUUAAAACUGCAUUUACGAAAACGUCUCCGAGAAAGGGAGGUGAUCUGGGACGUGUUUUACUGUUUUUAGAUCAUUAAUGGUGCACUGAUCAGUCCAGAUCAGAGGCCAGCGCGGAACAACAUUCUGCAAGAUGUGUCCCAGCAUAUCUCUGAAAAUCUCCAGCCGCACAAAACCGCAUUGUGUGUGGAUUUGAGAAGCGGCUUAGGGCACCGACGAGAACAAGGCGUCCUCUGAGAGAGGCGGACGGAAGGCAUCUCAUCUCGACAGCGCUCCUACCACUCCACGAGCGAAGACGGCUCCGGAGAGACGAAGAGCGAGGGAAAGAGUCGGAUCAAAUCGGCGGAUGAUGACACUCAAGAAUGUGGAGGAAAGAGAUUUGGGCUGAACAAGCUGUUUUGAUUAGAGAUCUAGUGCCAAAAAAAGGAGAAGAAACAAAGAAAGGAUAAAUCAAUGGUGGGACGAAUGACAUGGAU